CUAAAAAUUAAAGAUCACCUUGGCAACCAUCUGGAUGGUAGGGGUUUCCUUCGUAACCAGGCAAGCAUUGGCACAAGUAACCUAUGGACCCAUUGUCAGGCCUGUUGAAGCACCUGCUUUUAGCCUUGCAAGCGAAAUCCUUCCUCUUUUGAGCUUCAUCACAGGGGUCUUUCUCUUUCCCAAUUGCCCAAUUAGCAAUCCAGUGGAAUCUGUUCAGUGUUGUUCAAUUCAUCAAAACUCGCACAGGAGAAAUUGAAAUGGCCUUGCUCUGCAAUGAAGGCGUAGCCGCAGGGGUUAAAGUUCCAUAUACCCGAAUGAUUAUUGAAGCUGGGGAUUGUACACCCAACUCCGGAGCAAGAGUUAUCGACAUUGCCAAGCCUUUUGCAUAGGGACAUACACCCGGUAGUGAACUCUUCUUCCCCAGUACGAACAGAGACUGCUUCUGAAAUCUCCUUAACAAACAAGCAGGAGACCACAACCGUCGUCCUUUCCUCUCCUCCUCUCCAUGUCUCGGCGUCUCCUUAGAGAAAAAGUUUGCAGGCUCAGAAAGAUCGCAGUCAUCUGGGUGCUACUUACAUAUGAGCUUUGCUUCCAAUAAAAUGUGUCCCAAUUCGAGUGGCAACGAGAUCUGUAAGUCCUUCACUAUCACUGGCUAGAAACUAUGUUGAGUGACUUAAGUCUACUGUUUCAUAGGAAUUGCUGCUUGUGAUGAAAGAAAUCUUUUAAUGCGAGGUGUUUGUUUAUAAUCUUA